CAUUGAGUGCUUGCACUCUUUGGACGUCGACCGGCGCACGGGUGAGUAACGCGUAUCCAACCUUCCCAUUACUGUGGGAUAACCUGCCGAAAGGCAGACUAAUACCGCAUAGUCUUCGAUGACGGCAUCAGAUUUGAAGUAAAGAUUUAUCGGUAAUGGAUGGGGAUGCGUCUGAUUAGCUUGUUGGCGGGGUAACGGCCCACCAAGGCAACGAUCAGUAGGGGUUCUGAGAGGAAGGUCCCCCACAUUGGAACUGAGACACGGUCCAAACUCCUACGGGAGGCAGCAGUGAGGAAUAUUGGUCAAUGGACGGAAGUCUGAACCAGCCAAGUAGCGUGCAGGAUGACGGCCCUAUGGGUUGUAAACUGCUUUUGUAUGGGGAUAAAGUUAGGGACGUGUCCCUAUUUGCAGGUACCAUACGAAUAAGGACCGGCUAAUUCCGUGCCAGCAGCCGCGGUAAUACGGAAGGUCCAGGCGUUAUCCGGAUUUAUUGGGUUUAAAGGGAGCGUAGGCUGGAGAUUAAGUGUGUUGUGAAAUGUAGACGCUCAACGUCUGAAUUGCAGCGCAUACUGGUUUCCUUGAGUACGCACAACGUUGGCGGAAUUCGUCGUGUAGCGGUGAAAUGCUUAGAUAUGACGAAGAACUCCGAUUGCGAAGGCAGCUGACGGGAGCGCAACUGACGCUUAAGCUCGAAGGUGCGGGUAUCAAACGGGAUUAGAUACCCUGGUAGUCCGCACAGUAAACGAUGGAUGCCCGCUGUUGGUACCUGG
rnacentral:rRNA from 1 species